GGCGAUAUGGCCGAGCGGUCCAAGGCGCCAGAAUCAGGACGGUCCUCGUCUUAUCUGGUCCGAAAGGGCGUGGGUUCGAAUCCCACUGUCGUCA
rnacentral:tRNA from 1 species